UACGGGGGGGCAAGCGUUGUUCGGAAUUACUGGGCGUAAAGGGCUUGUAGGUGGCCAACUAAGUCAGACGUGAAAUCCCUCAGCUUAACUGGGGAACUGCGUCUGAUACUGGAUGGCUUGAGUUUGGGAGAGGGAUGCGGAAUUCCAGGUGUAGCGGUGAAAUGCGUAGAUAUCUGGAGGAACACCGGUGGCGAAGGCGGCAUCCUGGACCAACACUGACACUGAGGAGCGAAAGCCAGGGAGCAAACGGG
rnacentral:rRNA from 1 species